rnacentral:rRNA from 1 species
GCUGAAACCGGCGCACGGGUGCGUAACGCGUAUACAAUCUGCCUUUCACAUAGGGAUAGCCCGAAGAAAUUUGGAUUAAUACCUAAUGGUAUAUAGGAGCGGCAUCGUUUUUAUAUUAAAGCUACGGUGGUGAAAGAUGAGUAUGCGUUCUAUUAACUAGUUGGAGAGGUAACGGCUCCCCAGAGCGACGAUAGAUAGGGGUUCUGAGAGGGAUGUCCCCCACACUGGUACUGAGAUACGGAACAGACUCCUACGGGAGGCAGCAGUGAGGAAUAUUGGACAAUGGUCGGAAGACUGAUCCAGCCAUGCCGCGUGCAGGAUGAAGGUCCUAUGGAUUGUAAACUGCUUUUGUAAGGGAAGAAUAAGGGGUACGUGUACUUUGAUGACGGUACCUUACGAAUAGGCAUCGGCUAACUCCGUGCCAGCAGCCGCGGUAAUACGGAGGAUGCGAGCGUUAUCCGGAAUCAUUGGGUUUAAAGGGUCCGUAGGCGGGCUAAUAAGUCAGAGGUGAAAGCGUUCAGCUCAACUGAGCAACUGCCUUUGAAACUGUUAGUCUUGAAUGAUUGUGAAGUAGUUGGAAUGUGUAGUGUAGCGGUGAAAUGCUUAGAUAUUACACAGAACACCGAUAGCGAAGGCAUAUUACUAACAAUUUAUUGACGCUGAUGGACGAAAGCGUGGGGAGCGAACAGGAUUAGAUACCCUGGUAGUCCACGCUGUAAACGAUGGAUACUAGCUGUUUGGAGCAAUCUGAGUGGCUAAGCGAAAGUGAUAAGUAUCCCACCUGGGGAGUACGCACGCAAGUGU